rnacentral:rRNA from 1 species
GUGGGGAAUAUUGGGCAAUGGGGGAAACCCUGACCCAGCGACGCCGCGUGAGGGAAGACGGCCUUCGGGUUGUAAACCUCUUUUGUACGGGAAGAAGGAAGUGACGGUACUGUACGAAUAAGUCCCGUCUAACUACGUGCCAGCAGCCGCGGUAAUACGUAGGGGACGAGCGUUGUCCGGAAUUACUGGGCGUAAAGGGCGCGCAGGCUGUGCUGCAAGUCAGCUGUGAAAUGUCUGGGCUUAACCCGGGCAUGCGGUUGAGACUGCAGUGCUGGAGUGCUGUAGAGGCAAGUGGAAUUCCCAGUGUAGCGGUGAAAUGCGUAGAUAUUGGGAAGAACACCGGUGGCGAAGGCGACUUGCUGGGCAGCAACUGACGCUGAGGCGCGAAAGCCAGGGGAGCAAACGGGAUUAGAAACCCGUGUAGUCC